CCUACGGGUGGCUGCAGUAGGGAAUAUUGCGCAAUGGGCGAAAGCCUGACGCAGCAAUUCCGCGUGGAGGAUGACAUAUCUCGGUAUGUAAACUCCUGUCGGCGGGGACGAUUAUGACGGUACCCGCAAAGGAAGCACCGGCUAACUACGUGCCAGCAGCCGCGGUAAUACGUAGGGUGCAAGCGUUGUCCGGAUUUAUUGGGCGUAAAGCGUCCGUAGGCGGUUUUGAAAGUCUGGUGUUAAAGGCUGGAGCUCAACUCCAGUAGGGCAUUGGA
rnacentral:rRNA from 1 species